rnacentral:rRNA from 1 species
GUCCUUUUGAAUUUAAUAUAAGGUCUGACCUGCCCAGUGAUAAUUUCAACGGCCGCGGUAUAUUGACCGUGCAAAGGUAGCAUAAUCAUUAGUCUUUUAAUAAAGGGCUGGAAUGAAAGGUUUAACGAGGAACUGACUGUCUCAUUUUAUUUGUUUUAAAAUUUAAUUUUUUAGUUAAAAAGCUAAAAUUUUAUUGGUAGACGAGAAGACCCUAUAGAGCUUUACAUUUAAUUAGUUAAAUAUUUUUAUAUUAAUAUUUUUAUUUGAUUUUAUGUUUUGUUGGGGUGACAAAAAUAUAUAUAUAACUUUUUUAUAUUAUUUACAUUGAUUUAUGAAUAUUAGAUCCAUUAUUAUUGAUUAUUAGAUUAAGUUACCUUAGGGAUAACAGCGUAAUCCUCCCCCAGAGUUCAUAUUUACGGGAUGGGCUUGCGACCUCGAUGUUGGAUUAAGAUAAUAAUUAGGUGUAGCCGCUUAAUUAAUAGGUCUGUUCGACCUUUAAAUUCUU